UCCCAGGAAGCAUCUGGC
rnacentral:snRNA from 1 species